rnacentral:lncRNA from 1 species
GCUUUGAUUACACUGGAAAGCUUAUUGCAACUGCUUCAGCUGAUGGAACAGCAAGAAUUUUCAGUGCUGCCACAAGAAAAUGCAUUGCCAAACUGGAAGGUCAUGAAGGUGAAAUUUCAAAGAUUUCUUUCAACCCUCAAGGGAACCAUCUUCUAACUGGCAGCUCUGACAAAACGGCUAGAAUCUGGGAUGCUCAGACUGGCCAGUGCCUCCAGGUUCUUGAGGGGCACACUGAUGAAAUCUUUUCAUGUGCUUUCAACUAUAAAGGCAACAUAGUCAUUACAGGCAGCAAGGAUAAUACCUGUAGGAUAUGGCGUUGACUGAAGGAAGCUGGUCAGUGAGCAACCUUGCUAGCAAUGGUAAUCAAGAACUGGAACUUCACAGACAGCAGCUCUCUUAAUAUUUCUUAUACUUUCUCUUUUUCUGCAAGUCAACUAUUUCUACAACUGUCCUUCAUUUCACAGAUAUGACCAUUAAACAUGACAAAGUUAUGCCACUCCAAUAUUAUUAUUUGAUGGCGAUGGCAGGACACAGCAUAAUGUUUGGCUAAUGCCACCAGUUAUUUCAGUUGUGUUUGUUUUUUAAAAGCAUUAUGAUACUGAAAAAGGAGACCAGAACAACUUAACAACGUGUCUCCUGGAUUUUACUUUGAAGCCUAUUGUUAUAAUUUCUGUUGAAUAAAGUGUUUGGAGG